UAGGGAAUCUUCGGCAAUGGGGGCAACCCUGACCGAGCAACGCCGCGUGAGUGAAGAAGGUUUUCGGAUCGUAAAGCUCUGUUGUAAGUCAAGAACGAGUGUGAGAGUGGAAAGUUCACACUGUGACGGUAGCUUACCAGAAAGGGACGGCUAACUACGUGCCAGCAGCCGCGGUAAUACGUAGGUCCCGAGCGUUGUCCGGAUUUAUUGGGCGUAAAGCGAGCGCAGGCGGUUUGAUAAGUCUGAAGUUAAAGGCUGUGGCUCAACCAUAGUUCGCUUUGGAAACUGUCAAACUUGAGUGCAGAAGGGGAGAGUGGAAUUCCAUGUGUAGCGGUGAAAUGCGUAGAUAUAUGGAGGAACACCGGUGGCGAAAGCGGCUCUCUGGUCUGUAACUGACGCUGAGGCUCGAAAGCGUGGGGAGCGAACAGGAUUAGAUACCCUGGUAGUCCACGCCGUNNCGAUGAGUGCUAGGUGUUGGAUCCUUUCCGGGAUUCAGUGCCGCAGCUAACGCAUUAAGCACUCCGCCUGGGGAGUACGACCGCAAGGUU
rnacentral:rRNA from 1 species